CCUACGGGAGGCAGCAGUGAGGAAUAUUGGUCAAUGGACGAGAGUCUGAACCAGCCAAGUAGCGUGAAGGAUGACUGCCCUAUGGGUUGUAAACUUCUUUUAUAUGGGAAUAAAACGUUCCACGUGUGGGAUUUUGUAUGUACCAUAUGAAUAAGGAUCGGCUAACUCCGUGCCAGCAGCCGCGGUAAUACGGAGGAUCCGAGCGUUAUCCGGAUUUAUUGGGUUUAAAGGGAGCGUAGGUGGAUUGUUAAGUCAGUUGUGAAAGUUUGCGGCUCAACCGUAAAAUUGCAGUUGAAACUGGCAGUCUUGAGUACAGUAGAGGUGGGCGGAAUUCGUGGUGUAGCGGUGAAAUGCUUAGAUAUCACGAAGAACUCCGAUUGCGAAGGCAGUUCACUGGACUGCAACUGACACUGAGGCUCGAAAGUGUGGGUAUCAAACAGGAUUAGAUACCCGAGUAGAC
rnacentral:rRNA from 1 species